rnacentral:lncRNA from 1 species
CUCAGAGACACCCAGGACUUCAGGGUUGACUGGUAAAUGUAGCCUAGCUGAAAGUCAGGAAGAAAAGGAAUGGAAUGUCUGAUGGAUAGCUUGCGGUCUUUGUCACAGACACCAGACUAUAGAAAGUAUGAUUCCCAUUUAACAGUAAUGAAAGCUGGCUGAGCAAAAACCCAGAGCAUAAUUUCUCACUGGCUGGCUGCUCCAGAUAGUAAUAGCUUCAGUGCCCUUCAGAGUGGAAUUUUCCUGAGCCUGUGAAGAUGUGUGAGGUGUACCCAGCAGGGCAUGAGAGCCACCACCGAGGAAGAAAAGAGAAAACUGCCUCUUCAUUCAUGCGUUUAUCUGGAAAGGGUGACCACUGCCAAUUCCGUCGUGUGACAGGAUCUAGUGUCUCUGCACAGCAUAAACAGAAACAGUCAAGGGGGAGAGGUGGAAUACAACCCGAGGCCGCAGGGUGGUAUGGUGUGGUUGUCACCGAAGUGCAGGCAUCCUUAACCAAAGGACAGGCCACACUGGUGGGCUGGAGAGGACUGCAGGCAGGGUGGAUUUAAAAUUAUGUUUUAAAUUACAUCCUCUUUUCAAUUCUUUUAAUCCUCAGAAGAAUCAAGGCAAGCCUCAGUUAAUCAGUAGCAUGGUUCAUGGUUUUAAUGGUUCUCUGGUAUUUGCCAAUCUUCCUUUUU